rnacentral:misc_RNA from 1 species
GAUGAAGAACGUAGCUAAAUGCGAUAAGUAAUGUGAAUUGCAGAAUUCAGUGAAUCAUCGAAUCUUUGAACGCACAUUGCGCCCGCCAGCAUUCUGGCGGGCAUGCCUGUUCGAGCGUCAUUUCAACCCUCGACAUCCCCUUGGGGAAGUCGGCGUUGGGGACCGGCAGCACACCGCCGGCCCCGAAAUUGAGUGGCGGCCCGUCCGCGGCGACCUCUGCGUAGUAAUCCAACCUCGCACCGGAACCCCGACGUGGCCACGCCGUAAAACACCCAACUUUCUGAACGUUGACCUCGGAUCAGGUAGGAAUACCCGCUGAACUUAAGCAUAUCAAUAAGCGGAGGA